AGCGAACGCUGGCGGCAGGCCUAACACAUGCAAGUCGAGCGCCGUAGCAAUACGGAGCGGCAGACGGGAGAGUAACACGUGGGAACGUACCCUUCAGUACGGAACAACCAAGGGAAACUUUGGCUAACACCGUAUACGUCCGUAAGGAGAAAGAUUUAUCGCUGAAGGAUCGGCCCGCGGCUGAUUAGCUAGUUGGGUAGGUAAUGGCUCACCAAGGCGACGAUCGGUAGCUGGUCUGAGAGGAUGAUCAGCCUCACUGGGACUGAGACACGGCCCAGACUCCUACGGGAGGCAGCAGUGGGGAAUAUUGGACAAUGGGCGCAAGCCUGAUCCAGCCAUGCCGCGUGGGUGAUGAAGGCCCUAGGGUUGUAAAGCCCUUUCGGCGGGGAAGAUAAUGACGGUACCCGCAGAAGAAGCCCCGGCUAACUUCGUGCCAGCCGCCGCCGUAACAC
rnacentral:rRNA from 1 species